rnacentral:rRNA from 1 species
GGGUUGAAUGUGGGUGUUGUUCUUAUUUUGCCCGAGGGAUUUGAAUUCGCGCCGCCCUACCACAUUUCGCCUGAGUUGAAAGAAAAGAUAGGACAACUUUCUUUUCAUGGAGAUAGAAAAUCUCUUCAUUUCUGUGAAACAAAUUUACAUAUUUAUUGUGAGGUGCUUUGA